UACGGAGGGUGCAAGCGUUAUCCGGAUUCACUGGGUUUAAAGGGUGCGUAGGUGGGUCUGUAAGUCCGUGGUGAAAUCUCUAGGCUUAACCUGGAAACUGCCAUGGAUACUAUAGGUCUUGAAUACUGUGGAGGUCAGCGGAAUAUAUCAUGUAGCGGUGAAAUGCUUAGAUAUGACAUAGAACACCAAUUGCGAAGGCAGCUGGCUACACAAAUAUUGACACUGAGGCACGAAAGCGUGGGGAUCAAACAGG
rnacentral:rRNA from 1 species